GUCCCGCCCGGCUCUUAAAGCGGGCCGACGGCUCUCCGCGGUGCUGUGGGGCCGGCUCAGGGCGAGCUGUCGGGGCGCCCAUUGUCCUGGGGGGGAAGGGGGGGGUUGACCGAGUGAGACCCCCCUGCUCGGCAGGGCCGAGGCUCUCCGGGUCCCCCCCCUGCCCGGCCUUCCAGGACACCGCGCCGACGGACGGCCGGAGAGUCUCGGGUGGGGGUGGGCGGCUGCUUGGCAGCGCGUCGGGGGCAGGACGUGCCCGGCCGCAGUACAGCCCUCAGGAAAGGUGGCUGAGGAGCGCUACCGGAGGAGCCCGGGAUCCCCGAGGUGCAUCAGUCCCGAAAUAAGGGAGAGCAGCAGCAUCGCUCCCGGCCACCAAAGGUACACUCGUUUCGGUCAAUAGCAUUUUUUUCCCCCACUUCCCCUCGGUGUUUGCUAAAGGGCGCGGAGCUGCGUGCGAGUCCCACAGCCGGAGGAGAAAGGAAACGCGAAGAGCUUCUUCCAGCGGACGCUGCUCCCCUUCCCCUCCAUCCUGCGGGGUGAGGAACGGAGGGGCUCGGAGAGCGGCGGGGGGGAGGGUGGGAGGAAUCGCUAUUUUCCUUGAAGAACAAUUCAGGACAAUUAUUAUUAAUGCACGCAGCCGGCACCUGCGCGGCUCUCUGCCCGCUUCCCGAAUGGGACUUUUACUGCCCGUAAGCGGCGAACCAGGGCCGGUAAUAGGAUCAGGAAGGGAGGCGUUAGGCGGAAUGCCGCUGCGGCACUACUCGUAAAGGCGCGCUCCCGACAAACGCCUUCGGCCGAGAGGCUGUAAACGUUUUACGGGUAAUGAGAAAGGCAAGGGUUUGGCACGAAGGGGCGGGAAGGGUCGCACCACCUUUUGCUGGACGGGGCCGUGCUCGUUGCUGAAUGCUGGCGUGGGGGCUUCGGCCCGCCGAACGACCACGGAAAGCAAACCAGUAACUUUUACAGAGGAAAGUAAAAUAUUUCAAGUCAAGAACUCCUCUAGUAGCUGAAAAUUAACUUCUGACAACACGCGAGAUUUUCCCUCCCCGCCAUAUCAAAGAAACGUCUGUACGUUAAUUUCACCCUGAAAGAUUUGAGAAAUAACAGCGCCUCAGGGCAAAUUUUCAGCUUCAGAAGGACCCUUUGAGUCGAAGUAGGCGCAGAGAGUACGCCCAAAGCCGCGCAAUACAGCCUCAUUGAUUUUGCUGCGGUGUUCGCACGCCCGGGGAGUACAGAAGCGCAGAUCCCUGAGUUCUUCUGACGAGAUUUUAAUUAGGAAAUGGAAUUCCCCGCUCUGGAGCUGUGCCUUCGUGUAGAUGAGGCAUGACGGCUGGGAGCUUUGCCGAGGGGUGGGUUGGGGUCACGGUGACGAGAGGAGCGGAGCCAGGGCCGCCCCAAACGGCGGCUCUCUUCCUUCCGUCCUCCGUUCUUCUUUCCUUCCUUUUUUUUUUUUUUUCUUUCUCCCUUCGGUAUGCUGCUGAGAACCGACCCCGUGAAUUUCCCGAAGUGGGCCCCUUGGCGUUAUCACCGCUUAAUUCGAACGUUCCUUUCAAGAGUAAAGCAGCAGAGAGGCAAGGUGCUUGCCGCUAGCUCAGCCUGUGCGUUGUUGCCGUGGAUACGGUUCUAAAGCGGUUCGAUUUUAUCGAUGCAAAAGAAAACGUUGAAAACUGAGGUAAGGAUUGGAUUAGCUCCGUGUCUGCCACCGCGGUGCAGUGUGCGCUGCGCGACGCGUACGAGCGGAGCUACCGCUUGCUCAGAGCUGACCUUGAGAAAGGGAAGAGCGUGACGAGGCGGGCACCGCUCCGUCGGGCUACAGCGCAUCUGUUAUCUUUAAAUGUUUGAAUCCCUUCGUCAAGAUUAUGGCGUUAUUCCAAGUGGUAAAACGCGGCUAUUUCGCUUCUCACUGCCGCAAGAAAAUAGAAACCUCCACUUUCCCCACUCUAGAAAGCAUUUUAAACCCAAAGCAUCAGAGUGUUUUUGCUUUUUAUUUUGCUUUCCCGAUUCAAAGCUGAGACGUUACAAACGAUUACGGGUUGGAAAACCUAUCGGAAACAGUGUGGUCACGUUAUGACAAAGCGCUAAUCUGACGCUUGCAAAACGGUGACAGUUGCAACGUUGUUUUUUUUUUUUUCCUUCUCUCUCCCUUCUCCCACUUUUGUUUCCUUUCCUUUAAAGACAAAGGAUUCGAAAAACAAAAUAAAUAUUAAUAAUAAUCCCAAACGCUCCCGCGGUGACAGUUAGUCCCCCCUCCCCAGUGCAAGGAGUCAGGCCGGGCAAUUGGAAGCUCAUUUAAUUAUUUUCAUUCUAAUCGCUUUAAUCCCCCCCUCCCCCACCCCCCCCCGCCGAGAGCAAAUGACGCUAAUGGGACCCACGUGGAGAAGCCCCGGGGUGGCGGCGCGGCUCCUCCCGGCCCCGUGCCCGGGCAGGUGGAGCCGGCGGGGCGGGGCUCGCCUCGGUCAGAGGCUUUACAAUAAAUAAAAUACUGCCAUACGUUGUCGGUUGUUGUUAUUACUGAUCUUCUCUCCCACCCCCGCCGCCGCCGGCCGCUGUCUGCUCUGGGCUGGUUCCGUUUGCUGCGGAGGAGGAAUGGAAAACCUCCCCACCGAUGAAGCACGGGAUCGGUGCCGGUGAUGCGGCCUCGGAGCCGCAGGAACGCGGCAGCAGCGCUCCGCUCCGUGCCCUCGGGUGUUGGCGUCCGUGUUCGCGUACAGUACCUGCCCGCUGUUAUAAACAUCCCUCAGUACACAGCCAAUCAAUCACGCUGGCAAGCAAGCAGAUCGGGAGCCGAGAGUAUAUACAAGGCAUAAAUACAGAGACGUGAAACCCCAGUCAGCGCUGCAGUAUUUACACAUAAUUUUUCUAAGGCGCUCUCUCUAAGAGAAACCAUAUCCAGGCUAUCGGAAGUUAUGAAUUCAAGAUUAAAAAGUAGCAGAUAGUGUUAAGGAAGUAUAGUCAUUCUAAUGCUAGCGAGGGAGAUGUAAGGAAGAAAAGGAGAAAAAAAAAUGCCUGAAGCUGAAGACUUAAAAAAAAAUCCUAUUAUACUUACAGCCGGGAACACAAACUGGAGACUGUGCAGCUGAAAAACACAAAACCGGUCAUUUAAAAAUACGAUGCGAUAGAUAUAUCUGGAAAAGACAUGAGUUUACCAGAUUUUCCAGUCAGCAGAGCUUUCUUUAUGUUGCAGUCAUUUCUAGUUCUGCUUUAAUUUGAAACAUAUUUACAUCCAGGGAUAAGUCCUUGCAACUGCGCUGUGUUUUUUCAACAAUCUCUUGAUAACAAGAGGUCUGCACAGCAGGGAGUCUGUGCCUCUUGAUGUGACACUGAGGCUUUGCUGGUGGAAGGACGUGUGUGAACACGGGUGGAAUCCCUACAGUGAGGUGCGCUGCAGAUCCAGGGCAUCCCAGUAAUGCGUAGAGAAGGGUGACGUAUCAAAGCAGGGCAAAAUGAAGUUUCAGGACUUAAAAGAGAAAGGCGUAUAUUAUAUUGUGGUAAUUUAGGAGUUUCAGUGAAAUGGAGAAAUGGUUGGUGCUGCAAACUAGCAGGUUUGCUGUUCCUGUGUUGCAGGAUCCUGAACUAUGCCUUUUUCUCUGGAUAGCAGGCAGCAGGUAGGCCCUGGGAUUUGUCCUGGUGGAGGAGAAUGAUCUCAGAGGGCAGGAGCUGUGUUUCAGCAUGAGGUGUCAAGGGCAUGUGCCAAAACAGCUUAUAAAGCUGGGCACCACAGUGUUCUUGCUCAAGAGAGCCCUUGUGACCACAUCCUCUCUAUGGAGUCCAUCUCAGGCAUACUUUUUCUUGUGCAGUAAUUACAUUUGUUGUGCAUGUUUUCCAAUCAAGAAUAAAUUUGAUGCUAAACUCACUUUCACUCUACGAUUGUCAGUGUUAAAUUGUAUAAGGGGCCAAAACCAAACACUACUGAUGUCAGCAGAGUAGUUUUUGAUGAUGCCCUGCAAGCUGGCUGGGUACAGUAGGCAUAAAUAGUAUGGAAAGUUGGUUUUGUUGGCCUCCUAGACACUUAAAAUAAUGUGUUUAAAUAUACGUAUUGCCAGCACAACAGGGAUUGGAUUAUUCAUCUGCUUACAUUUAAGGUGCCCCCCAUCCUCCCCAUUAAGGACUGUGUUUAAAAUGGAUUGGAUUACUCACUUGCUUAAAUGAUAUUUCAUUUUAUAUAACCAUUUCUACUUGUCACCAUGUAAGUGAGUGCUUCAUCUAUCAGAACCUCAUCCUGCGAACUUGAUGCAUGGUUUUCUGUAGGAAUGGAUUAUGGAGUCCUUUGACAGAAACAUGUCUUGAUCUGUGGUGGAUAACACUGACACAAAAAAAAAAGGAUAGAAGCCUUAAAUGACAAUUUGCCACUGAAAUAGUACAUAAAAUAAAUAACAAUGCUUAAAAUAGUUGGUGAAGAGUCUAGAAAUAUUUAGUAACUUUGAUGUAAGUGGUAAUUUUUGUAAGCACCGUAGUCACCACAACACCAGUUUCAUGCUUUAAUCUUCUGGGGUGGUAAUUGUAAGGAGACUUCCAUCUGCUCUCAUCAGUGGAUUAAUUCAGGUUCACGUUAAGUUCACAGUCUUUUUUCACAAAAACUAUUGGCAACUGUAGGAAUGGUAUUUUAAUGCUAUGAGAACAUUGUGAAAGCUCACACUCUUUUCUGUUCUAAAGAUUCUCCAUCAUUCACUCCAGUGAUAAAUGGUUGUUGAGAAAGAUACAAACAAAGCAAGAUUUUGGAGUUAAUUCUUUAAGCUACACAUUGUGUUCUUUGAGUUUGAGAGAGAAGCAACAGUCAGUAGAUGCCAGCAUUGCAAACAAAGUGAAGAGUUUGUCUGGUGACCCAGUACAAGGUUCUUACUUCAGGAAGAACCCUCAGCUCCCUUCAGAAAGCUUGGACAACUGAAAACACGUUUAUGGCCAAGUUUGGCUUAUUUCUGUGUGCUUUCCACUAGCAAAAUUUCUCACAUACAUUUUUUUUUUUCUGGAAAUGAGGGAACAGUAUUAAAAACCUCAACCAACCAACCAAUUUGGCCUUCUCCAACCUUUGAGCAUAACCUCUGAACUCUGUGAUACGGCUACUGACAAAUCUCUUUAUGGAAGGUCUUCCAAGGACAACGUUAAUUGCCUUCCAAGGUCUUUAAGUGCCAGCCAGAGCAACCUUACAAAGACCACAUCUGUGGCUUUGUCAGCCAUGUUCUCCUGUACAGAUUACAUUUUUUUAUCAGUCUAUAAGCAGACAAACCCUCCUUGGUGAGAUCAUGUGGUACAGCUGUACCCUCAGAACUGGGGGAGAAAUCAAAAGGGCAUUUUAAUUAUUACUUAGGAAAAUUAGAUUAUGGUUUACUAAAAGUAAGAUGCCUUUUUCACUCAGACCAGUGUUCUGCUAUUGCCAGUACAGAUGAAGCUCUUCUCUUUAUUUUAGAGAUCUCCUACACAUCAUGGGCAUCAAAUUGUACUAUAUAAUUUUUGUACACAUAUUUGAAAUUUACUAUAUGUCUUCUCUCUGAGGUUAAAUGAUUUUUGACUAAAAUUACUUGUACUAAAUAACAGCCUACUUCUGGUAAGCAUAAACGUUCCAGUUUUGUUUCUCUUUGUGGACAGUAGACUACCCAAAAAGAUUUGAGGAUGCUGGUACAGAGCAAUUGAUAAUGUACGGACAUUCAUCAGCUCAGACAGUGUGCUAAGCUGUGACGUGGGUAUGUCCGGAGGUGAGGCGUUAGAGACACUCCUAAGCUCUUACUUCUUCUGAACUGUACUGACAGUCUGGCUCUACUUCUCAUUUGCUUUUAACAGUGGUGGGGUCAGAAUUUUACUAGGGUGUAUCUUGUUAAAUGCACUGUAAGGAUAAUGUAGAUAAGCCUCCUCAAGUACUGUAUUUCAGUGAUCUGUUUAGUCACUAUAGGACCCUAUAUUCUAUAUAAAAUUCUGCUUAGAUCAAGUAUGUAGCGAACAGCUUCCAGAGCAGUGUAGAGACUGUAAACCAGCAUUAGCAGAAUUGACUUGGGGAUGAAUUUGGAAUAGGGAUGAGAGUGAAUUUAUUGACAUAAGGCUGUAUGUUUGGCAACACGGGCUUCUUUUCCUAUGUAUAGAAGGAACAACUGUUUAUACUUGAAAAUAUCAACACUCACUGAGAAUACAUUUUAACUGCUGUUAUUAAGCUAGUGUUAAGAAAUUCCUGAGAACACUUUAAAAAGUAAAAAUAACAAGCUUACACAUGCUAAUCUGUGGAAGGGAAGACUGGGAUACAGAGGAAGCCUAAUUCUGGGCAGCUGUGGAGAGGAGUAGCCUUGCUGGAGUGUUGUUAGCUCUGUCAAGAGAGAAGAUGAACUGUGAGCAGGUCUGGGACCAGGUGAUUAAUGCUGCAGAAGGCAAUCAGGAUCAGAAGAGCUAGCAUUUGUAUGGCAAUGGGCUGCAGCCUCUUCAUUCAGAAAGAAGUUAUCCCACAGCUUCCUGAGGAACAGACACAGAGUACUGGUACAAACUGGUAAGAUGCAUGGCCAAAAUUCAAAGGACAUGCAGUAGUGGAAUCACAGAGUACCUUGGGAGUACGAUCAAGUAUGAUCAUACUCAUGUAAUCAGGUUUGGGAUCCUCUAACUAAAUCUUCCAGAAUGCUUGAUCAAGUAGCUAUUGUCACAGCACGCCAAUGAACAGACUUACUAAAACUGGGAUCAAUUAAGUAUCUAUCACUAUUUUCUUUUAAAACAUACAUGGAGAAAGUAGCAGUGCACUGAAAAAGAAACUGCCCCAAACUUCCAUUAUAGAGGACUUCUGGAGGAUGACUACGAUAACUUUAUCUUUGCCCUUGGUACAUAUGCUUAAUUCUUGCAUGCAACCUCCCACCCCUUUUCAAACAAGGCAGAAAAUUGUCUAACUUAAUGAAAAGUUGUGAUUCUUAAAAAUGAAAAAAUUGCUUAUCUACCACUCUACAGAAUGAUUCAAACCUCAAAAGAAAAAAGAACAGAUGAGAUGUUUAUUGUCAUUUUUUGUUUAUUGGAUAUUUCUAAAAGAAUUCACACAUGGCACGUUGAGUGAGGUGCUUUCUAUCCACUCUGAGAUGCUAAUAUAAUGUACAACAUGAGUUGGGUGCUAAUCAAUUAACACUAUUCAGAAUUUCUUGUGAAGACCAGAAGCUGUUAUUUAUAGGAGUAAUUUUUUUUUUCCUCCUGGAUUUACAGAAACUUUUAGCAUAUUCUCCUGUUUUUAAUUUAUCUUCUUGGUUGUUACAUGGGCCUUGAAGCUUUCUAAACCUUGUUAAUAGAUGUAUUCAACUACUCCAGAAAGAACACAUUCUGCCUGCCUGGAGGCUUUGUUCUCUAUCUGUUUGAGGAUAGGAACUGAGAGUCACUAGAAAUUGAGAGAAAUGUAGAUUAAUGAAUUGUACUCUCAUAUCAGUGUAAAAUUAAAACCACUAUCUCCGAUGUCAACAGAGGUGCCAGGGAAAAGAGAAUUAGACUCUGAGCUGCAUUUGUGGUCCCAGAAGAAAACUUUUCCUGAUAAGAUUGUAACUUGUUGAAACUUCAAAAUUCGUGGAAUUCCUACUUGCAUGUGUGUAACAUCUGAAGAGUGUAUUUUAGGAAGCAGUAUUCUGCAGUCUUCGUGUAAAAGUACUUUAAUACUUUAAAAGUUACUUUAAGCACAUGCUUAUCCUUGUUUUUACAGAAUACUUAUAAAAUUUUCCAACUUUUUUUUUUUUUUUUU